rnacentral:lncRNA from 1 species
GCUGAGUUUCUUAUCAGACAGUUGGGAGAUAUUGGUAGUGACGCUGAGUAAUUCCACUAAUAGUGACAAACUUAUCCUGACUAUGGUAAGGAUAGCAUAUUGAAUGAAGCAAAUAGAAAAAAGAGCAGGAUUUGACAGAUAAAGGUUCUGAGGUAUUGGUUACAGAGUAGAGGAGAAGCGAAAAUAGACCCUCUAAUAAUAGAAAGG